rnacentral:rRNA from 1 species
UGGGGAAUUUUGGACAAUGGGCGAAAGCCUGAUCCAGCAAUGCCGCGUGUGUGAAGAAGGCCUUCGGGUUGUAAAGCACUUUUGUCCGGAAAGAAAUCCUUGGCUCUAAUACAGUCGGGGGAUGACGGUACCGGAAGAAUAAGCACCGGCUAACUACGUGCCAGCAGCCGCGGUAAUACGUAGGGUGCAAGCGUUAAUCGGAAUUACUGGGCGUAAAGCGUGCGCAGGCGGUUUGCUAAGACCGAUGUGAAAUCCCCGGGCUCAACCUGGGAACUGCAUUGGUGACUGGCAGGCUAGAGUAUGGCAGAGGGGGGUUAGAAUUCCACGUGUAGCAGUGAAAUGCGUAGAGAUGUGGAGGAAUACCGAUGGCGAAGGCAGCCCCCUGGGCCAAUACUGACGCUCAUGCACGAAAGCGUGGGGAGCAAACAGGAUUAGAUACCCUGGUAGUCCACGCCCUAAACGAUGUCAACUAGUUGUUGGGGAUUCAUUUCCUUAGUAACGUAGCUAACGCGUGAAGUUGACCGCCUGGGGAGUACGGUCGCAAGAUUAAAACUCAAAUGAAUUGACGGGGUCAUAGCUGUUU